CAGCACCUCAAGUGGUCAGGAUGAUUAUUGGGCCUAAAGCAUCCGUAGCCGGCUCUGUAAGUUUUCGGUUAAAUCUGUAUGCUCAACAUACAGGCUGCCGGGAAUACUGCAGAGCUAGGGAGUGGGAGAGGUAGACGGUACUCGGUAGGAAGGGGUAAAAUCCUUUGAUCUAUUGAUGACCACCUGUGGCGAAGGCGGUCUACCAGAACACGUCCGACGGUGAGGGAUGAAAGCUGGGGGAGCAAACCGGAUUAGAUACCCGAGCAGUCC
rnacentral:rRNA from 1 species